UACAGAGGGUGCGAGCGUUGUCCGGAAUCACUGGGCGUAAAGGGCGCGUAGGUGGCGACCCAAGUCCGUGGUGAAAGCUCGUCGCUUAACGACGAGUCGGCCACGGAGACUGGGUGGCUCGAGCACUGUAGGGGCAGAUGGAAUUCCGGGUGUAGCGGUGGAAUGCGUAGAGAUCCGGAAGAACACAGUGGCGAAGGCGGUCUGCUGGGCAGUUGCUGACACUGAGGCGCGACAGCGUGGGGAGCAAACAGG
rnacentral:rRNA from 1 species